UAUGGUUGUGUGCCAGCAGCCGCGGUAAUACGUAUGGAGCGAGCGUUGUCCGGAAUUAUUGGGCGUAAAGGGUGCGCAGGCGGCUUUACAAGUUGGAUGUGAAAUAUUGUGGCUCAACCACAAACGUGCAUCCAAAACUGCAAAGCUUGAGUUAAGGAGAGGUAAGUGGAAUUCCUGGUGUAGCGGUGGAAUGCGUAGAUAUCAGGAGGAAUACCGGUGGCGAAGGCGACUUACUGGACUUAAACUGACGCUCAGGCACGAAAGCGUGGGGAGCAAACAGG
rnacentral:rRNA from 1 species